CAAUCGCUCAGUAGUCAGUGUAGAUCCUGUAUUCUAAUCAGCAGCUACAUCUGGCUACUGGGUCUCUG
rnacentral:pre_miRNA from 13 species